rnacentral:rRNA from 3 species
UAAGGCGAUUAUACUGAAGGUGCUCCACCUGUUCCCAUUCCGAACACAGAAGUGAAAUCCUUUGAGGCCGAUGGUAGUGGUUUUACCGCGAGAGUAGGUCGUCGCCUUAU